rnacentral:rRNA from 1 species
AUUGAACGCUAGCGGGAUGCCUUACACAUGCAAGUCGAACGGCAGCGCGGACUUCGGUCUGGCGGCGAGUGGCGAACGGGUGAGUAAUGUAUCGGAACGUGCCCAGUAGCGGGGGAUAACUACUCGAAAGAGUAGCUAAUACCGCAUACGCCCUACGGGGAAAGGGGGGGAUCGCAAGACCUCUCACUAUUGGAGCGGCCGAUAUCGGAUUAGCUAGUUGGUGAGGUAAAGGCUCACCAAGGCGACGAUCCGUAGCUGGUUUGAGAGGACGACCAGCCACACUGGGACUGAGACACGGCCCAGACUCCUACGGGAGGCAGCAGUGGGGAAUUUUGGACAAUGGGGGAAACCCUGAUCCAGCCAUUCCGCGUGUGCGAUGAAGGCCUUCGGGUUGUAAAGCACUUUUGGCAGGAAAGAAAUCGCAUCAAUUAAUACUUGGUGUGGAUGACGGUACCUGCAGAAUAAGCACCGGCUAACUACGUG